CCGAUAGAAAACAAGUACCGUGAGGGAAAGUUGAAAAGAACCCUUGACAGGGAGUCAAAAGUUCCUGAAAUCUAGUAGUGAUAGUGAGUUAGGGCUCUACGGAGUUCUAACGUGCGUUUUGAAUAACGUGCCAGGGAGUGUAUCUAAGUGGCGAGGAUAAGCUGAAAAAGCGCAUCCAAAGCGAAAGCAAGAUCCCGCAGUUUUACGAGGGGAGAGGUAUGAAAGUGCCUUUAGUCACUUGGAUACUACCUGAAACCGGGCGAUCUAUUCCUGAGCAAGGUGAAGCGAGGGUUAAACUUCGUGGAGGCCUGAAGAGGUUCUACGGACAAGUGUUCUUCUGACUUGGGAAUAGGGGUGAAAAGCCAAUCGAGCUCGGCUAUAGCAGGUUCCUGCCGAAAUUGACCUUAGUCAAGUCUCGGUCGAGAUGGUUAAAGUUGUAGAGCUACGGAUUGCGGAUUUAGGCGAGGAAACUUGUCGGUUUGCUGUCCAACUCCGAAUGCUUUAAUGUUGCAGACACCGGGAAACAGGGAGUCUUGGGGUAAGCUUGACUUCCGAAAGGGGAACAACCCAGACUACAGUUAAGGUCCCUAAGUGCCAGUUAAGUGAUAAAGGGUGAAGGGUGUUUAUGAUCUGAGACAGUGAGGAGGUUGGCUUAGAAGCAGCCAUCCUUUAAAAAGUGCGUAACAGCUUACUCAUUGAGGUCGUAAGCCCCGAAAAUUGACGGGUCUAAACUGGUCACCGAUACUGUAGACUAUGAAAAUAGGUGUAGGCAGGCGUUCUUUUAGGGCAGAAGCUUCUUCGUAAGAGGAGGUGGACCUGGAAGAAAUGAAUAUCCUGGUGGUAGUAGGAACGGAGCAGAGUGAGAAUCUCUGUCGUCGUAAGGGCAAGGGUUCCUUGGCAAUGCAAAUCAGCUAAGGGUUAGUCGAUCCUAACUCAACUCAUAAGUGAGUGAGAGGAAAGGGAAACAGGUUAAUAUUCCUGUACUAAUUUAGUAUACGUGGCAACACAAGUUUUAUUUCUGACGCAUCCGGAUAGACCAACAGAACAUGUCUGUUCUGCUAACGAACAUAAGUCAGGGGAGUAUCGUAAUGAUGAGAACCUGAGUAAAGUUCGGAAUGGUGGAUCUAUGAUUCAUUUGGUUGAUUCCCGGUGCCCGUGAAAAGGGAAUAAUUCAGAUCUGAAUUAAUCGUACCCAGAACCAGCACAGGUGCCCCUAGGUGAGAAGCCUAAGACGUGCAAGAUUAAUCUAGUUAAGGGAAUUCGGCAAAUUAGUCCCGUAUCUUCGGUAGAAGGGAUCCCUGGAAUUGUUGUCGUAUGAUUGCGAUUUCAGGGCGCAGUGACUAAGGUGGUCCGACUGUUUAACAAAAACUUAACCUUCUGCUACGCUGUAAAGCUUUGUAUAGAAGGUGAUAUCUGCCCAGUGCCAGUACUUUAAGCCUCGGUUCAACGGGGUGAAGAGCUGGUAAACGGCGGGAGUAACUAUAACUCUCUUAAGGUAGCGAAAUGCCUUGCCGUUUGAAUGACGGCCUGCAUGAAUGGUAUAACGAGAUCGCCACUGUCCCUAACUAGAACCUUCCGAAUACUCUAUCCUGGUGCAAAGGCCAGGGACUUCCAGUGGGAAGCGAAGACCCCGUGAAACUUUACUGUAGCCUGUUGCUGUGUUUCGAGCUUUGUUAUAUAGUGUAAGUGGGAGCUGUUUGAGACUAUAGACGUCAGUUUGUAGUUAAGGCGCCAAUGUAACACCACUUCUCAAAACUUGAAACACUAACCUCGAAAAGAGGGACACCAAUUGGUGGACAGUUUGGCUGGGGUGGCACGCUGUUGAAAGGAUAUCAAUAGCGCCCAAAGGUUGGCUCAUCCAGUUUAGAAAUCUGGAGUAGAGUGCAAGGGCAAAAGCCAGCCUGAUUGGACUUCAAACAUAACAAUUUCCAAACACGAAAGUGUGGCCUAGCGAACCUCCAUACCUUCUUAAUGAGGGUUGGAGAUGACUGAAAAGUUACUCCGGGGAUAACUGAGUUGUCGCGCCCGAGAGUUCAUAUCGACGGCGCGGUUUGCUACUUCGAUGUCGGCUCUUCCUAUCCUGGUGGUGCAGAAGCUGCCAAGGGUGGGGGUGUUCACCCAUUAAAAGGGAUCGUGAGCUGGGUUCAGAACGCUGUGAGGCAGUUUGUUUGAUAUCUACU
rnacentral:rRNA from 1 species